UACGAAGGGGGCUAGCGUUGUUCGGAAUUACUGGGCGUAAAGCGCUCGCAGGCGGAUCGAUAAGUCAGGGGUGAAAUCCCGGGGCUCAACCUCGGAAUUGCCUUUGAUACUGUCAAUCUCGAGUCCGGAAGAGGUGGGUGGAAUUCCUAGUGUAGAGGUGAAAUUCGUAGAUAUUAGGAAGAACACCGGUGGCGAAGGCGGCCCACUGGUCCGGUACUGACGCUGAGGUGCGAAAGCGUGGGGAGCGAACAGG
rnacentral:rRNA from 1 species